rnacentral:misc_RNA from 1 species
AACGCACAUUGCGCCCUUUGGUAUUCCGAGGGGCAUGCCUGUUCGAGCGUCAUUACACCACUCAAGCACCGCUUGGUAUUGGGCGGCGGCCGGUUUACCGGCCCCCCUGAAAUGGAUAUUUGGCGGCGCCCUCCCGGCUGCAAGCGUAGUAGAACUUUUACGUCUCGCUUCAGUGGCUCGGGGUGCGCUCGCCUGACGAAAAACCAAUCUUUUUUAUCUAGGUUGACCUCGGAUCAGGUAGGGAUACCCGCUGAACUUAA